GACGAACGCUGGCGGCGUGCCUAAUACAUGCAAGUCGAGCGGACCAAAGGGAGCUUGCUCCUGGAGGUCAGCGGCGAACGGGUGAGUAACACGUGGGCAACCUGCCUGUAAGACUGGGAUAACAUCGAGAAAUCGGUGCUAAUACCGGAUAAUAAAAAGAACUGCAUGGUUCUUUUUUGAAAGAUGGUUUCGGCUAUCACUUACAGAUGGGCCCGCGGCGCAUUAGCUAGUUGGUGAGGUAACGGCUCACCAAGGCAACGAUGCGUAGCCGACCUGAGAGGGUGAUCGGCCACACUGGGACUGAGACACGGCCCAGACUCCUACGGGAGGCAGCAGUAGGGAAUCUUCCGCAAUGGACGAAAGUCUGACGGAGCAACGCCGCGUGAGUGAUGAAGGUUUUCGGAUCGUAAAACUCUAGUUGUUAGGGAAGAACAAGUGCCGUUCGAAAGGGCGGCACCUUGACGGUACUAACGAGAAAGCCACGGCUAACUACGUGCCAG
rnacentral:rRNA from 1 species